rnacentral:rRNA from 1 species
GAUUUAGCAUGCUAGUUGUACGAGUUGAGACUCGUAGCAGAUAGCUCAGUAACACGUGGCCAAACUACCCUAUCGAGCACGAUACUCUCGGGAAACUGAGGCUAAUAGUGCAUACGGCUCGGUGUCUGGAGUGACCCGAGUCAGAAACGCUCAGGCGCGAUAGGAUGUGGCUGCGGCCGAUUAGGUAGACGGUGGGGUAACGGCCCACCGUGCCAAUAAUCGGUACGGGUUGUGAGAGCAAGAGCCCGGAGACGGUAUCUGAGACAAGAUACCGGGCCCUACGGGGCGCAGCAGGCGCGAAACCUUUACACUGCACGCGAGUGCGAUAAGGGGACUCCAAGUGCGAGGGCAUAUAGUCCUCGCUUUUUCCGACCGUAGGAUGGUCGGCGAAUAAGUGCUGGGCAAGACCGGUGCCAGCCGCCGCGGUAAUACCGGCAGCACGAGUGAUGACCGCUAUUAUUGGGCCUAAAGCGUCCGUAGCUGGCCACGCAAGUCCAUCGGGAAAUCUCUCCGCUCAACGGAGAGGCGUCCGGUGGAAACUGUGUGGCUUGGGACCGGAAGAUCCAGAGGGUACGUCUGGGGUAGGAGUGAAAUCCCGUAAUCCGAGACGGACCACCGGUGGCGAAAGCGCUCUGGAAAGACGGAUCCGACGGUGAGGGACGAAAGCUCGGGUCACGAACCGGAUUAGAUACCCGGGUAGUCCGAGCUGUAAACGAUGUCUGCUAGGUGUGACACAGGCUACGAGCCUGUGUUGUGCCGUAGGGAAGCCGUGAAGCAGACCGCCUGGGAAGUACGUCUGCAAGGAUGAAACUUAAAGGAAUUGGCGGGGGAGCACUACAACCGGAGGAGCCUGCGGUUUAAUUGGACUCAACGCCGGACAUCUCACCAGCAUCGACAGUGUGCAGUGAAAGUCAGUGUGAUGAGCUUACUGGAGCCACUGAGAGGAGGUGCAUGGCCGCCGUCAGCUCGU